GUCGAGAAUCUUUCACAAUGGGGGCAACCCUGAUGGAGCGACGCCGCGUGGAGGAUAAGGUCUUCGGAUUGUAAACUCCUGUCAUGCGUGAACAAGGUUGCUUGGUUAAUACCUGGGCAAAUUGAUGGUAACGCAAGAGGAAGAGACGGCUAACUCUGUGCCAGCAGCCGCGGUAAUACAGAGGUCUCAAGCGUUGUUCGGAAUCACUGGGCGUAAAGGGUGCGUAAGUGGCGUGGUAAGUCAGAUGUGAAAGCCCGGGGCUCAACCUCGGAACUGCAUCCGAUACUGCCAUGCUAGAGUACUGGAGAGGUGACUAGAAUUCUCGGUGUAGCAGUGAAAUGCGUAGAUAUCGAGAGGAAUACCAAAGGCGUAGGCAGGUCACUGGACAGUUACUGACACUGAGGCACGAAGGCCAGGGGAGCGAACGGGAUUAGAUACCCGGGUAGUCC
rnacentral:rRNA from 1 species